rnacentral:rRNA from 1 species
UGGGUAACCUGCCUCAAAGAGGGGAAUAGCCUCCCGAAAAGGGAGAUUACUACCGCAUAAUAUGUUUAAGUCGCAUGACUUUAACAUCAAAGGAUUUUCUUUUAGAAAUUCCACUUUGAGAUGGACCCGCGGCGCAUUAGCUAGUUGGUGAGGUAACGGCUCACCAAGGCAACGAUGCGUAGCCGACCUGAGAGGGUNAUCGGCCACAUUGGAACUGAGACACGGCCCAGCUCCUAGGG